GACGAACGCUGGCGGCGUGCUUAACACAUGCAAGUCGAACGGAAAGGCCCUGCUUGCCGGGUACUCGAGUGGCGAACGGGUGAGUAACACGUGGGUGAUCUGCCCUGCACUUCGGGAUAAGCCUGGGAAACUGGGUCUAAUACCGGAUAGGAGCCAUUUUUAGUGUGAUGGUUGGAAAGUUUUUUCGGUGUAGGAUGAGCUCGCGGCCUAUCAGCUUGUUGGUGGGGUAAUGGCCUACCAAGGCGGCGACGGGUAGCCGGCCUGAGAGGGUGGACGGCCACAUUGGGACUGAGAUACGGCCCAGACUCCUACGGGAGGCAGCAGGGGGGAAUAUUGCACAAUGGGCGCAAGCCUGAUGCAGCGACGCCGCGUGGGGGAUGACGGCCUUCGGGUUGUAAACUCCUUUCGCUAGGGACGAAGCUGUUUGUGACGGUACCUAGAUAAGAAGCACCGGCUAACUACGUG
rnacentral:rRNA from 1 species